rnacentral:rRNA from 1 species
GUAGCUAACGCGUGAAGUUGACCGCCUGGGGAGUACGGUCGCAAGAUUAAAACUCAAAGGAAUUGACGGGGACCCGCACAAGCGGUGGAUGAUGUGGAUUAAUUCGAUGCAACGCGAAAAACCUUACCUACCCUUGACAUGUACGGAAUUCUGCCGAGAGGUGGAAGUGCCCGAAAGGGAGCCGUAACACAGGUGCUGCAUGGCUGUCGUCAGCUCGUGUCGUGAGAUGUUGGGUUAAGUCCCGCAACGAGCGCAACCCUUGUCCCUAGUUGCUACGCAAGAGCACUCCAGGGAGACUGCCGGUGACAAACCGGAGGAAGGUGGGGAUGACGUCAAGUCCUCAUGGCCCUUAUGGGUAGGGCUUCACACGUCAUACAAUGGUCGGAACAGAGGGUUGCCAAGCCGCGAGGUGGAGCCAAUCCCAGAAAACCGAUCGUAGUCCGGAUCGCAGUCUGCAACUCGACUGCGUGAAGCUGGAAUCGCUAGUAAUC